GCGGAGGGAUCAUUACUGAGUUAUCAAACUCCAAACCCAUGUGAACAUACUCGUGUUGCCUCGGCGGCGAGCCUACCCGGGAGCUCCUACCCUGGAGCUACCCUGGAGCUACCCUGUACUUACCUACCCGGUAUCUACCCUGUAGCGCUGGCAGACCGCCGAAGGACCAACUUAAACUCUUGUUUCUAUGUGGCACAUCUGAGUUACAUAUACAAAUAAGUCAAAACUUUCAACAACGGAUCUCUUGGUUCUGGCAUCGAUGAAGAACGCAGCGAAAUGCGAUAAGUAAUGUGAAUUGCAGAAUUCAGUGAAUCAUCGAAUCUUUGAACGCACAUUGCGCCCAUUAGUAUUCUAGUGGGCAUGCCUGUUCGAGCGUCAUUACGACCUUUAAGCCUAGUUGCUUAGCGUUGGGAGCAUUACCGUCUGGUAACUCCUCAAAGUCAGUGGCAGGGUUACGGUACACUGUAAGCGUAGUAGAUUUUAUUCUCGCUUGUUGGUUGCCGCAGCUAUCGCCAUAAACCUCUAUUUUUUCUAGUGGUUGACCUCGGAUCAGGUAGGAAUACCCGCUGAACUUAAGCAU
rnacentral:rRNA from 1 species